rnacentral:rRNA from 1 species
UACAGGGGGUGCAAACGUUGCUCGGAAUCAUUGGGCGUAAAGCGCACGUAGGCGGUUCGUUAUGUCGGAUGUGAAAGCCCUUGGCUUAACCGAGGAAGUGCAUCCGAAACUGGCGAGCUAGAGUACGAAAAGAGGAUCGCGGAAUUCCCGGUGUAGAGGUGAAAUUCGUAGAUAUCGGGAGGAACACCGGUGGCGAAGGCGGCGAUCUGGGUCGAUACUGACGCUGAGGAGCGAAAGCGUGGGGAGCGAACAGG